AGAGUUUGAUCCUGGCUCAGGAUGAACGCUAGCUACAGGCUUAACACAUGCAAGUCGAGGGGCAGCAUGUUGGUUGCUUGCAACCAAUGAUGGCGACCGGCGCACGGGUGAGUAACGCGUAUCCAACCUACCCUUGUCCAUCGGAUAACCCGUCGAAAGGCGGCCUAACACGAUAUGCGGUUCUCAGCAGGCAUCUAACGAGAACGAAAUGUAGAAGGAGAAGGAUGGGGAUGCGUCUGAUUAGCUUGGUUGGCGGGUAACGCCACAAGGCGACGAUCAGUAGGGUUCUGAGAGGAACGGUCCCCCANAUUGGAACUGAGACACGGUACCAAACUCCGUAACGGGAGCA
rnacentral:rRNA from 1 species